AUUGUGAAUGCCUAUCUAUCAUGGAUUGGGGCCAAAGCUGGGGUAUUGAUUUGUUAUUCCUACCUCAUGACUUCCCUCUGGCAAGGAACCCACAAAGGAGGUUUAAGAAAGAUCGCUGUAAAAAUCACUCACCCUAAACGGCAGGAUUUGACUUCAUGCGGUGUGGCAGCCAGAGCAGUCUGUGACAGGGUACACUGGACACUCAAUAUCAUGUAUCUGAAAGAAAACCGGUCCCUGUUCUUUGACCCAUUCGGGGCCAAUGAAGAGCAGUUAAUCAGAUGCAAAGAUUUAACAAGAUCGCUGUAAAAAUCACUCGCCCUAAAUGGCAGGAUUCGACUUCAUGCGGUGUGUUUGUUGGCAAGCUCUGUCAGGCUUGUGGGGAAUUGAGCUCAGGUUCUAAGGUUGACCAAUGGACCAACAUUUGGCGGGAAGACUGGGAUACACCCUGGAUUGGUUACCUCAACAUCACCGGGUGAACACUCACUGUAACAGAUAUUGAAAAUGUUGACUUUAAUUCACUAAACUUGCAUGUCUUUGCACUAUGGGAGGACACUGGAGCAGUUAAAGAAACCUCUGAGCACAGACUCUAAACAGAAAGGAUAACAGCUAAGAUCCCAACCUAUACAUUGCUUGUUUAAUUAAAUGUAAACAAUUGAUUACUGCUUACUCUGGAUGAGGGAUGUUAACCUAAAGAAAAUGUUUGUCAAUAUUCUAACACGUGUUUUUUAUGUUUAUUUUAAGAUUGAGUGCACUGGGUGGACUAUGCAGUACCACAUGAAAUGUGUUCGGGAGUCCUCUGUGAAUGAGGAUUAUUUUUGCAAAGCCUGCACAUUUUAGACAGUUUUUAUUUCUGUUGGGAAAAUACUCAAUAUACUCUUCCAAUAUGAGAGUACACAUGAUGACAAAGCUAAUCUAACCAAAUGCUGGA